rnacentral:misc_RNA from 1 species
UUAACUUAUUUUUGUUUUACUCAGAGAGGCCUAAAAUAUAAGAGUUUUUGGGCUGUCGGCGCUAAGCGGAACUGCCCAGCAACAGCUCCAGAGAGUACUGAGGUUAGGAGUUCCCACGCCGAAGCAACUGUAGGUAGGUUCACAAUGGUGGGAGUUUUGCAACUCUGUAAUGAUCCCUCCGCUGGUUCACCAACGGAGA